UAGGGAAUCUUCGGCAAUGGGGGGAACCCUGACCGAGCAACGCCGCGUGAGUGAAGAAGGUUUUCGGAUCGUAAAGCUCUGUUGUUAAGGAAGAACGAGUGUGAGAAUGGAAAGUUCAUACUGUGACGGUACUUAACCAGAAAGGGACGGCUAACUACGUGCCAGCAGCCGCGGUAAUACGUAGGUCCCGAGCGUUGUCCGGAUUUAUUUGGCGUAAAGCGAGCGCAGGCGGUUAGAUAAGUCUGAAGUUAAAGGCAGUGGCUCAACCAUUGUAGGCUUUGGAAACUGUUUAACUUGAGUGCAGAAGGGGAGAGUGGAAUUCAAUGUGUAGCGGUGAAAUGCGUAGAUAUAUGGAGGAACACCGGUGGCGAAAGCGGCUCUCUGGUCUGUAACUGACGCUGAGGCUCGAAAGCGUGGGGAGCGAACAGG
rnacentral:rRNA from 1 species